CACCUUUUGACAUGCCCGGACCGCCACAGAGAUGUGGCUUUCCCUUCGGGGACUGGGACACAGGUGCUGCAUGGCUGUCGUCAGCUCGUGUCGUGAGAUGUUGGGUUAAGUCCCGCAACGAGCGCAACCCUCGCCAUUAGUUGCCAUCAUUUAGUUGGGAACUCUAAUGGGACUGCCGGUGCUAAGCCGGAGGAAGGUGGGGAUGACGUCAAGUCCUCAUGGCCCUUACAGGGUGGGCUACACACGCGCUACAAUGGCGACUACAGAGGGUUAAUCCUUAAAAGUCGUCUCAGUUCGGAUUGUCCUCUGCAACUCGAGGGCAUGAAGUUGGAAUCGCUAGUAAUCGCGGAUCAGCAUGCCGCGGUGAAUA
rnacentral:rRNA from 1 species